rnacentral:rRNA from 1 species
UCGAGAAUCUUCGGCAAUGGGCGAAAGCCUGACCGAGCGACGCCGCGUGGAGGAAGAAGGCCUUCGGGUUGUAAACUCCUGUUGGGGGGGAGCAAAUCAAUGAGCGACCCCCUGAGGAAGCACGGGCUAAGUUCGUGCCAGCAGCCGCGGUAAGACGAACCGUGCGAACGUUAUUCGGAAUCAUUGGGCUUAAAGGGCGCGUAGGCGGCGGCGUAAGUUCGUGGUGAAAUCCCAUCGGCUCAACCGUGGAAUCGCUUCGAAUACUGCGUCGCUCGAGUGGGAUAGGGGACCGCAGAACUGCCGGUGGAGCGGUGAAAUGUGUUGAUAUCGGCGGGAAUGCCAGUGCCGAAAGGGGCGGUCUGGACCCUCACUGACGCUGAGGCGCGAAAGCUAGGGGAGCAAACGGGAUUAGAUACCCCCGUAGUCC